AGCUGGAUAGCUCAGUUGGUUAGAGCAUGGUGCUGAUAAUGCCAAGGUUGCAGGUUCAAUCCCCAUAAGGCACAGCUG